CAGGUUCUAGACGCCCCAUCACUUCAAGAUGACUUUUACUUAAACCUAGUGGAUUGGUCCUUUCAAAAUGUUCUUGCAGUUGGAUGGGGCACCUGUGUUUAUCUGUGGAGUGCAUCAAACAACAAAGUAACGAAGUUAUGUGACUUGGGACCUAAUGAUGGCGUGUGUUCCGUCCAAUGGACCCGAGAGGGUUCAUACAUAUCUAUUGGUACAAAUUUUGGUCAAGUUCAGGUCUUGGAUGGGACUCAGUGCAAGAAAGUCUGAACCAUGGCCGGGCAUCAAACAAGAACUGGAGUCUUGGAAUGGAAUUCACGUAUAUUAGCUUUUGGAAGUAGGGACCGCAACAUACUUCAACAUGAUCUUCGGAUUCCAAAUGACUUCAUCAGCAAGCUAGUUGGUCACCAGUCUGAGUGAUGACAGGGAACUUGCAUCUGGCUGCAAUGAUAAUCAGCUACUGGUCUGGAACCAGCAAUCUCAGCAACCCGCUCUGAGACUGACAGAGCACACAGCUGCUCUCAAGGCCAUUGCUUGGUCGCCCCACCAAAGUGGCCUUCUUGAAUUUGGAGGAUGAACAGCUGAUCGAUGUUAUUCGCUUCUGGAACACCACAAAUGGUCACCAAUUGAACAUUGUUGAUACGGGAAGCCAAGUAAUUUCUUUUUCUUUUUUUUUUUUUUUUGUCUAUAUACAUUAAAUUCCAAUGACUUUUAGUAAGACUACGUUAUCAUAUCAUAUAGAAGAUGUGAAUGGUCAAAACAACCUAUGGAUUCCUUUGAAGGGGGGGGGAGGGGG